CUUCCCAUUCACUGCCCGCCGAUGUGCGUUGGCGACGUCACCGCGUUCACCGUCCCGGAAGUGCGCGUGGCGGCGACGGCGACGGCGGCAGCGGGGCCGAUGUGUAGCUGGUGACCACCUCUCCAGAUGCUGAGGUGCCUGUAUCAUUGGCACAGGCCAGUACUGAGCUGUAGGUGGAAUAGGCUGUGCCUUCUGAAGCAGUAUCUAUUUACAAUGAAGUUGCAGUCUCCCGAAUUCCAGUCACUUUUCACAGAAGGAUUGAAGAAUCUGACAGAAUUAUUUGUCAAAGAGAAUCACGAAUUAAGAAUAGCAGGAGGAGCAGUGAGGGAUUUGUUAAAUGGAGUAAAGCCUCAGGAUGUAGAUUUUGCCACUACUGCUACCCCUACUCAAAUGAAGGAGAUGUUUCAGUCGGCUGGGAUUCGGAUGAUAAACAACAAAGGAGAAAAGCACGGAACAAUUACUGCCAGGCUUCAUGAAGAAAACUUUGAGAUUACUACACUACGGAUUGAUGUCACCACUGAUGGAAGACAUGCUGAGGUAGAAUUUACAACUGACUGGCAGAAAGAUGCGGAACGCAGAGAUCUCACUAUAAAUUCUAUGUUUUUAGGUUUUGAUGGCACUUUAUUUGACUACUUUAAUGGUUAUGAAGAUUUAAAAAAUAAGAAAGUUAGAUUUGUUGGACAUGCUAAACAGAGAAUACAAGAGGAUUAUCUUAGAAUUUUAAGAUACUUCAGGUUUUAUGGGAGAAUUGUAGACAAACCUGGUGACCACGAUGCUGAGACUUUGGAAGCAAUUGCAGAAAAUGCAAAAGGCUUGGCUGGAAUAUCAGGAGAGAGGAUUUGGGUGGAACUGAAAAAAAUUCUUGUUGGUAACCAUGUAAAUCAUUUGAUUCACCUUAUCUAUGAUCUUGAUGUGGCUCCUUAUAUAGGUUUACCUGCUAAUGCAAGUCUAGAAGAAUUUGACAAAGUCAGUAAAAAUGUUGAAGGUUUUUCACCAAAGCCGAUGACUCUUUUGGCCUCAUUAUUCAAAGUACAAGAUGAUGUCACAAAAUUGGAUUUGAGGUUGAAGAUCGCAAAAGAAGAGAAAAACCUUGGCUUAUUUAUAGUUAAAAAUAGGAAAGAUUUAAUUAAAGCAACAGAUAGUUCAGACCCAUUGAAACCCUAUCAAGACUUCAUUAUAGAUUCUAGGGAACCUGAUGCAACUACUCGUGUAUGUGAACUACUGAAGUACCAAGGAGAGCACUGUCUCCUAAAGGAAAUGCAGCAGUGGUCCAUUCCUCCAUUUCCUGUAAGUGGCCAUGACAUCAGAAAAGUGGGCAUUUCUUCAGGAAAAGAAAUUGGGGCUCUAUUACAACAGUUGCGAGAACAGUGGAAAAAAAGUGGUUACCAAAUGGAAAAAGAUGAACUUCUGAGUUACAUAAAAAAGACCUAAAACUGAUGGCUACUAAAAAGCAGAGCAUUUCUGGUAAGAUUAAUUUUCUCCCCUCUCUCUUAAUGAGGUUUUAGAAACUACAUCAUAAUAAAAGACAGUUUAGGGGACCUCUGUAGAACAACAAGGGUCUUAUUUUGUGAAAUAUAUUUCAAGAACUAAACUGAGAUCCACCUUUCUUGAUCCGAUUUAUAUCACUGAAAUGUACAGUUCUUUUGGAAUAGUUUCCAUAGUUGGCUAUUAUCUUAACCUGUUCAGGCUUUUUAAAAAAAUUGUUUUUGCAUAGGGUAGUACUAAGAUCUUAAAAAGUAGUAACUGUCUUGAAGAAAAAAUGUUUAUUGUUUGCAAUUGAAAUAACUGGGUUACCUUGAACAAUGACUAUGAUGUGUCAGUUCUUAUCUGAAUUCCAAAAGAAACUUGGGCUUAAAAAGGAAAUAACUGACAAGUCUGCAUAAAAUAUGAAUACUAAAUGUGUCCCCAGUUGCUGGCAUUCAUACGUACAGGAUUUGUUCUAGCAAGUUAUGCUUUAGUAUGUGGUUGGUAUUUUCCUGUCACAAUGAUUUCUUUAUGCUGCAGGGCCUGGGACAGUCAUGGGAUUAACUUGAGGGUUACUCUUGAGCCCAUUAUUUUAAUAAAACAUUGGUAUUGGAAGAUAAAUGUGUUUAUGUGGUAUCUGACAAUGUAUAUCAGGUGUCAUAUACAGUGGUAAUAUGCCUCUCUUUAAAGUAAAUGUUAUUUUAUUAAUUAAAAGGAUAUGGUUUACAUUCUUACAUAUUUGUUCUCUAAAGAUUUUGAGUCCUAAAUGCUUUCAUUAGGUAAAUAAAAUGUAUAACACAAACUGUUUAUUUCAGCUGCUAUACUGACAUUUCAUAAUUUAUUUCCUUUCUGUGUAGCCAGUCAUAACAUCUUUGUGCUCUUUGAGCAAAUAGUAAUUUUGGACCUUGAUAAAACAAUUUUGUAGAGUAUAAUAUUUCUAAGAGGAAGUGUCACAGGGGCUAUGAUGCAAGAAAGCCUCAGAAAUGACUGCACACAGAUUCUCACUCUGCUGCCAGGCUGGAGUGCAGUGGCUCAAUCUUGCCUCACUACAACACUCUGCCUCCCAGGUUCAAGCGAUUCUUGUGCCUCAGCCUCCCGAGUAGCUGGGAGUACAGACCCCUGCCCCCACACCUGGCUAAUUUUUGUAUAAAAUUACUCAUUUGUCUACUUUUUAUUAUAAAGAUUGUAGCAACUCUGCUUAGGACUCUGGAUUUUUCUGCCCAAUUAGGGUAAAAAAAAAAAAAGCAACCACCACCAUAACAUUACCCAGGAAACCAGCUGUGUUCCGUAGAAGGCCGGCCUAUCAGAUUCAAGUUGCAAGCUUUAUACACAGUAAGUGUCUCAUGCACAUAUCCAUGAGGAUUCACAUAAGCUGCCAUCGGCCCACAUAAGGAUAAACUAAAACAAAGAAUCAACAUGGAGGACAAGUCAAAAUGAGAAGUCUAAUUCUAUUAAAUGCUUAGAAUUUUCCUGAAGUUCACCAAGAAAUGAGGUAUGAGCUAUAUAGUUUUUAAUCUUUCAGUUUUACAUAAUACCAGGAUCUUAGUAUUAAAAUGGAGUGGGGGUGCAGCUGGCAGACAGGCCUGUUUUGUCUAAAUGUCUAAGUGUUUUCUGUGAUGACCCAAAGGAAAUAGUACUUGUUUUUAAAAUCCUCAAGACAGACAUUGUAAAGAAUAUAAAAUUCAAAUGCUUCUAAAGGAGUCUGAGAGUAUAAGUGCAAUAACAAGGUCCUGUGUGGUCAUUUUGGGGCAGUUGAUUAUUUUGCAGAAAGCAGUUUCCUUACAUUCUUGAUUUACAACUCUGAAAAUCAUUUUAUGACAAAUUCAUCGAACACUGUUAUAUCAGAGCAUCAGUGUUCAGAAGCAUGUCCUGCUUUGGCCCUGUAUGGCAAAACUGAUGACUGAAAUGUAAUUUCUGAGGCAUCUAUGUUAGGGCCUAACUGAAGACAAUAUAUUAUGUAGAUUUCUAAGACAGUCUAAUAUAUAGAAUUAGGGGGAAAAGAAUUGCUCAGUUGUUUUACUUUACCAUGCUCAUUACCUGUGAAUAAUCCCUGACAUGCAUUGUUGAUCUGAGUACUCAAUCUGGAAGAUGGUCUUACCAAAAGUGAGCUAAUUCCCUAUAUUUCAUUUGCUGAGUGUUUGUAACUGUUAGGUAUUGGAGGAAAGUAUAUGGAAAACAGAAAUACAGUCUUGAUUGUAAUUCUGAUAAGGCAAGUAUAUUAAAAAUGUAAUAAAGACCUUACCUGAAUAUUUCA